GAUGAACGCUGGCGGCGUGCCUAAUACAUGCAAGUCGAGCGAACGGACGAGAAGCUUGCUUCUCUGAUGUUAGCGGCGGACGGGUGAGUAACACGUGGAUAACCUACCUAUAAGACUGGGAUAACUUCGGGAAACCGUAGCUAAUACCGGAUAAUAUUUUGAACCGCAUGGUUCAAAAGUGAAAGACGGUCUUGCUGUCACUUAUAGAUGGAUCCGCGCUGCAUUAGCUAGUUGGUAAGGUAACGGCUUACCAAGGCAACGAUGCAUAGCCGACCUGAGAGGGUGAUCGGCCACACUGGAACUGAGACACGGUCCAGACUCCUACGGGAGGCAGCAGUAGGGAAUCAUCCGCAAUGGGCGAAAGCCUGACGGAGCAACGCCGCGUGAGUGAUGAAGGUCUUCGGAUCGUAAAACUCUGUUAUUAGGGAAGAACAUAUGUGUAAGUAACUGUGCACAUCUUGACGGUACCUAAUCAGAAAGCCACGGCUAACUACGUG
rnacentral:rRNA from 1 species